UGAAUGCUCUUCUAGCUGCAAAGGAGCCUGGGAAAAUUCCCAUUUAACUUUUCCACCUUUUACAGUGAAGGAAGAUAAGAGAGAAAUAAAUAAAGAAUGGUGUUGGUGUAGAAGUCAGCUGCCUUGUCUUCAGGACAUCCAGGCAAACAUGUGGAGAGGCCCAUGUGACUAGGACCUGAGGUCCUUACUCCAACUGCUCUGAGUAACUGAGGCCUGCCAGUCACCCAGAAAGUGAACUUGGAAGUUAAUAUCCUCCAGCAUUCAGAUGACUGCUACUCCAGCCAACAGCUUGACUACAGCCUCAUGAAAGAACCCUGAGCCAGAACCAUUCCGCUAAGCUGCUCCCAGAGUCCUGACCCUCAGAAACUGAGGAGAGUCACUCCUACAGGAAUUCGUUUCAGAAAAAGCCAGAUAUCCAACCUUUAUAAGGUUACAUCUACUUUAUUUCCUUUGCAACUGGUACCCCUACCAGGGGUCUCUGGAGGAACUCCUAUAAGUAAAAUAGAUCAUUGUCUGCCAUCCGUUGAAAAGCAUCAUUCACUUGGCUGGCCCAGGAACCCCACCCAGACUGAGGAUCGCUUCAUCUUUAUUAUAGUCCUCUGUCUCUAAUAUUCUAUACAUUUGGUUGUAUACUCUUUUCUGAUGUGGAAAUUGAGAGGCUGAGGAGUUAUUAUUUGCUAUAGGUCACAUGGCUACUACUGGCCAAAGCAGGUCUAGAAUCUGGAUUCCUGGCUUUUUUGGGGGGAGGGGGAGGGAACACUUGAACAUAAUAUUUGUGAUUGCAAGUGUUUAUGAUUUUAUUAAUUCAAAUCAUGCCUUGUCUUUAAACUUUAAGAUAUUAUAAUUUGAUUAAAUAGAAAUGCUAAAUGUUAAAAACAAUAACUGUCUCUUCCUCAGGAAACCUCAUGGGCUUUAAAAGGAUAUCUUUAAGAAAUAUAUUAUAUUCUGUUAAUUUUAAUCAAAUUUUUCUAGUCUGGAGAUCAAAAUUAAGCUGCAGUUUCAGACACUGGCACUCCAGAACAGUACAGUUUGGGAUGACUCAGCCAAGGGAAUUUCCUUUGUUAAAAUGUUUCAAAGAGAUAGCAUCAUGUGGUCUAAGUGGUAAGAACACCCUACACGUGGAACCUUCAAGAUGGGUACCUGGAGGGGGAGGGAGGGAGACAGUCUUCAGGCUUCCACAUUGGAACCAGGGGAGAAGGGACGUGUUUGAGUAUUAGAAUCUGGGGUGAAAUUUACUUAUUGUUGCCAACCUUUGAAAACUUACCCAGAGUCUGGAUUCACCUUAAAUUAAAUUAUGGAACAUUUCCUGUAUAAACUGAUUGAUGAGACACUUUAUUUUCAUGGAUAUCUUCAGUGGGAACUCCAAUAUAGCAGACAUGCUAUUGUUAUUCUUACUAAUCUUCCUCUCUGAGGAGCUAUUUUUUUUUAAACAGAAAAAAUGAAAGAAAAAAACCUUAUUUUGCCUUGAGUCAUAUCUGAAUAAUGUUAAGUUUUGAUAACCUCUCCUGAAGAGUAUCAAGAUUUUUUUCUUUCCUUUUGUUUCUCUAAAAUUCAUGGAGAGCUUAUCUUUCCACUAGCCAUUAAACCAUCUAUCAUAUGAUAAACUAGGAAGUGGAGCCCUUCGUGAUUUAUACUGGUAAAAUGGGUGGUCAGGAAGAGUUGGGAGAUUUAAGAAUAUUUGAGUUACUUCUUGCUUCCUGGUGAGACUGUUUAAAUUUAGGAUAUGCACAUAGUAUAAUUGUGGAAAAUCUUGUGGAAAUUCAGAAAAGUUUUAAAAUUUCAAAAAAAAAAUCACUGAUAAUACUAAUUGUUUUAACCUUUUCCAGGUCACAGCAGGGUAGAGAGUGGUUGGGUGCAUGGAUCUGAAGCUGGACUGCCUGGGCUUCACCAUUCCCUGGCUGGAUGACCUGAGGCAAGCUUCUUAACCUCAGUGGGCCUCAGUUUCAAUCUUUAUAGAAUGGGGAGGAGAAUAAUACCUACUUCAUUGGGUUGUUGAGAGGAUAUAAAUGAGUUAACAUGCAUGAAGCUCUUAGAACCGUGAAAACAUGACCCAUGUCAACUUCCAUGGUCGUGUUAGUGUCAUUGUUAUAAGUUUAUCCUUCUGAAUCCCUGAUAGACAUGUAGAUGAAUGAUGUCACAGAUCUUAUUUUAUAAUUAGAGAGACUCCGAAAUCACCAAUAGUAUGUAAAAGAUCAGGGCAAAUCUGUAGCUUUCUAUCUGUAGAAUCUGGUGCCAUUCAAAAAUAAAGAAGAAGAAAAAAAGACAUGAGUAUACGUUUCUCUAAAUAUAUGAGGAGCAUGAACACCAAAUGUGAAAAAAGGAUCUGGUGAGGUUGGGGGGAAAGUUCAGAGUUUAUUAGUGGUUAAGACAUGAGUAUCUCAGUAAUUUGGGAGAGUU